rnacentral:tRNA from 1 species
GGUUGCGUAGUCUAGUUGGUCAUGGCGUCUCGCUCACACCGAGGAGGUCCCCGGUUCGAGCCCGGGCGGAACCA